AACACUGCGCCGGAACGAACGGAUUAUAUUGAUGUUAUAAAAUAUAAGGUAUAUACCUUCUGUGUUU
rnacentral:tRNA from 1 species